rnacentral:rRNA from 1 species
CCUACGGGAGGCAGCAGUGAGGAAUAUUGGUCAAUGGGCGUAAGCCUGAACCAGCCAAGUCGCGUGAGGGAUGAAGGUUCUAUGGAUUGUAAACCUCUUUUAUAAGGGAAUAAAGUGCGGGACGUGUCCCGUUUUGUAUGUACCUUAUGAAUAAGGAUCGGCUAACUCCGUGCCAGCAGCCGCGGUAAUACGGAGGAUCCGAGCGUUAUCCGGAUUUAUUGGGUUUAAAGGGUGCGUAGGCGGCCUUUUAAGUCAGCGGUGAAAGUCUGUGGCUCAACCAUAGAAUUGCCGUUGAAACUGGGAGGCUUGAGUAUGUUUGAGGCAGGCGGAAUGCGUGGUGUAGCGGUGAAAUGCUUAGAUAUCACGCAGAACUCCGAUUGCGAAGGCAGCCUGCCAAGCCAUGACUGACACUGAUGCACGAAAGCGGGGGGAUCAAACAGGAUUAGAUACCCGAGUAGUC